CCGGAGUUGCUUUGGAGUAGGCGAUCCGUUCUCCUCCGAAGCGUAGCGCCUGGUAUCAACCUCCUAUGUCCUUCCCCGCAACCCGAAGAAAAUCGAAUCUCAGAAACCAUAAGAUCCUAAGGAAACUUGCUGAAACUCCUGGAAAUGCCUCCUCCAAGGAAGGACAUUUUCCCAGGCAACAGCUGGAGAAGAUCAACAAUUAAAACUCAGGUUGGCGCAUCGUUUUAAAAAAAAAACAACUGGCUAUCCAGGAAUCUGGAGGUUUGAGGUGUGGAGCCUCAUGGUUGAAUUCAAGUUUCAAAGCUUAUAAUGACCCAGAAAAUAUAUUUGCUUAAUGAAUCAAGGAAACUGCA